UCCGUGCCGCCCGGAGCGGCGGGGGGGAAGCGGCCGGGCCUCUCCGCUUCUCCCGCUCCGGAAGCGUCCAGGGGAGAGCGCCCGGCCCGGCCCGGCAGCGCGGUGACAGCCGGGCGCUGCGUGCGCGGAGCGGGCCGGGCGCCGCGGGGAGGAUCGCGGGGAGCUCCGGCUGGGCCGCGGCUGGGGUUGCCGGCCCCGGGUUGGGCCGGUCCGAGGGGAUCCGGUAGGGCCGUCAUCCCUCGGGAUGGUGGAGCUGACGAGCGCGGACGGACGCUGUGAGGUAGAGGGGAGGAACGGUGAGCGCUCCUCCGUCCUCCUGCAGCCGGGCCCGGGAAGUGCAGGACGUGAGGAGCGGCGGUGUCUGACGCUGCUGCUCGGACUGGCCUCGUAUUGCUAGCGGAGCGCUUCUUGGUUGUACGGCAGUGUUUUCGUGUGGCUGCGUGUAUCUACGCAUGCCACGACGAACGGCAGCUGCUGGGUGAAGGAUGUGCUCCCAGGGCUGGCUAACCUCUCGUUCCCCAUCGCAGACUGGAGGUCUCAAGCACUGCAGUCGUACCGGUGCAGCAUUUCUUCCCUGUUUCCUCUUGUGACACGUAGCCCCGUUUUUCUGGCCUGCUCUGAGCUCUCAAAUGCUUUGGCCCCAUCCAGUUCUUGGAGAUCUUCUUGCUUGUCUUCUGUAUAGUGUGCUGUGCUCGGGGUUCAAACCUUCUUGGUAGUCGUUUCUUUGGAAGCAGAUGGCUGGGCAGACUGCAUGGCUCAGGUUCUCUCUGCACCUGAGUGUGGAUGGCCACCGGGUGGGGGCUGGAGUCACCUGCUGCCUCCAAGCACCUUCCAGAGGAGUGGAAGGAGAACUUGCCCUGGACCUUCCAUGGCGUAACAGUUUGCCUGACUUGGAGCAAGGCUUGAUGCUGAGUGCUGGAGGACACACGCAGAGGGUCUCAAGGCAAAAUUUAGUCUGGAAUUAUUUGAGUCAAGAACACAAGGUUUCAUCCCAAAGGACAAGCCGUUCACAGGGUUACCUUGGAGUAAGGAUGCUUGCUGGAGGAGUUGGAUGAGUUGCUUGGGUGAAAGGAGGAAGAAGAGUCAGAAGUCACAAACAGGCCGAUGGAGAUAAGCUGCCAAGGGUGCCAGCUCGGCCCUGCAAGAUCCUGUCAAGAUAGACUUCAGUGCACUCAAUUAGGAGGGAAAUGAUGUGCAGUGAGAUGCUUCUCUGCCUGGUCACUAUUAUUUUGUAGCAUCAGAAGACAGAGUGUUACAGAGGCCCUCAGUUGCUGACAAAAGACAGCAAUCCUGAUGAUAAGCUUCAAGAAAAGGAAAUAAGAAUAGCAGCUGGUGUUGAAAUAGAAGUUGUAGAGGUGGGCAGGUGAAGUGCUGGGGAUGAAGACGGAAGAUUCAAGACAUAUGAAACACCAGAGCUCUUGGCUGGCUGGAGAGAGAGACUUGUGCGUUUUGAUGCACCGUGGAAGACAGAGUCAGAAGGAAUGCCUGCAGAGCGAUGCCUCUUCAGCUGGUGUUCCUUUGUAGUGAACAUGCAAGCUUUCUGCUGAUCGUCAUCUUUUUUUGGAUCAUUUUUCUUGAACAUCUUUCCUUGUGGCUUCAUCUUGCUUGUGCAGCAGGAAUUGCUCUGCAUACCCAUGAUGUGCUUCUUCCCUGAUAUGUUGAUUUUUAUCUUGGAAAGUGUUGUCCCUACUGAUGGAUCAAACAGUUUGAUUAUUUAGAGAAAUAAAGAACGUCCGUACCGUA